CAGUUAAGUGGGGUUAUUUUAUGGCUCUACCGGUCCGACCAAAUAAGGGAUGGUGGAUUUACGAUCAGAUUCUGAAUUCUAGAACAGGAAGGGACCUGGAAUGAACAGAAGAGCAGACGCCCGGGGCUCGGCGAUGUGCAGGUUUGUCACGACUGUUUCUGGACCCAGAGGGAACCGGGUAAGGAUGGCAAGACUCAUCAGGGCUGUCCCCGCAGGACGUAAGGUCUGCUGAGCAACUGGCUCCUCCCUCCCUGGGGCCAUGUGUCAUUAUUCAGCCCGUGGGGGUCAGGGUAGUUCAGAGGGUACUUGCUGAGGUUGCAGACCUGGAGAUCCAGGAUUUGGGGGAAGUUGGUGCCAAGAAUUGUCUCUUCUCUUUUCCACGAGGAAGCUCAGCUCAUCCACGGGUGUGGAAGAAAGAUGAGAACGAGGUUCAGACCUGCAGGCUGGCUCAGUGUCCACGAGGACGGAUGUCCCCCUCACCAAGCACCGUAGGGGGGCAUACAGUCAUCAGUGAAGGGCUUCCGAGAAGCAUGAAAACCCCCAUGGAUGGAGCCCCGGGAACGGACAUGAGGACGAAGGUGGGCUCUGUGAAACAGAGGUGUGAUCUAACUCACUGUGACACGACAGCAUCCAGCUGGUCCAUCAGGACGGUCUUCAGUGAUGGGGUCCCGAGGAGGAGGCUUAAGGAAAGUGUUGUUCUGCAGAAACCAAGACCCCCGCCCGGUGGAGGAUGGUGACCAUGUGCUGACCACAAGCACUAGACCCCAGGCUGGUUGGAACCAGAAGGCUGAUGAUUGAGAUUCCCCAAAACACCACCCUGUUACCUCACCACCAACCAAUCAGAAGAAGGUCCAGGAGCUGAUCAGGCAUCCUAGGACCCUCUCCCCCAACACUGUCUUUAAAAACCCUUCCCUGAAAGCCAUCGGGGAGCUCAGGUCCUUUGAGCAUGAGCUGCCCAUUCUCCUUGCUUGGCACCUGCAAUAAACGCUGUACUUUCUUUCGCCACUUCCCGGGGACAGCAGAUUGGCUUCACUGCACCUCUGGACCCAAGUGGACCCAAGUAUGGUUCGGUAAC